UUCUCUGAUCAUUAAGCUUCAUCCCUACAAUGGGAAUACCCCUAUGUCCCUACUGGCAAGACAGAACUGAGCUAGCAGACACAAUGUGCCUAUUAACAGUGUUUGGAACUUGAUAAAUAUUAAGUUAUGGUUUAUAUCAAUCCUCUUCCUUUUUGCCUUCAUAUCACUAAUAUGAGUUUUCUAUGUUAUUUGAGAAAAUGCAAUUCUACUACAGAAAACAGGAAAACAAACCAGGAUGAAAUAAAAUAUUAUGUAUAGAUGGUAAGUAAAUAAACUGCCAUGUGAAUAUGGAAAGGAUUCAUGAGACAUAUUAUAUAGAGAGUAAUUUAGUUGCUUGUAAGAUAUGCUGAAGACAAAAUAAGUGGAAUAUAUAGUAAUAUCUGCCAAACUUUUUAUUCCUAGAUGAAAAGGAAUAAAAAGACCAAAAGGCCAAAUCACACAGCUGCCACCUCUGGGUCUCUAAAUCAACCACCUUUGAUAACAAACAGUAGGGUUCCUUCCUGGCUCCCUAAGCCUGUCUCCAGAAUGCUGAAAGUCACCUGUUCUCCAAAGGUUGUGCCACCAAAUCAAGGAAAAGCAAUAGAAGGCAGCCCCAAAAUGAAGAACCAGGUAUCCUUACAGGAAUGUAGUGAACCCCAAAGGGCUAUGUGAAAAUGCAUUUGCUGCAAGCGGGAACAUCAGGGGAAUUUGGUGCCUCCAACCAAGUUAACAUAUCUUUCAAUCACCUGUGAUAUUGCAGAAUAAUGGCAACUACCAUGGAAAGAUGAAAUACAUAUGGUGCUGUAAAAACCAGGAGAGCCCAAGGGCAUUUUGCUCUUGCCAUUCCUGAGGAGUUCAUUGCCUACAGAUAAGCCCUCUCUUUGCCUGCUGCCAUCCACGUAAGAUGUGACUUGCUCCUCUUUGCCUUCUGCCAUGAUUGUGAGGCCUCACCAGCCAUGUGGAACAGUAAGUCCAAUAAAUCUCUUUCUUUUGUAAAUUGCCCAGUCUCGGGUAUGUCUUUAUCAGCAGCAUGAAAACAGACUAAUACAUGGUAUCAGCCUUGUGAUAGCAAUCCUCAGCCCCACACUGUGUGAAGCAGAUAUUGUUUCUACCACCAUACAGUGAAAGAAAUGGACACCCAGAAAGGCAAUGUGCGUUCCAAAAGUUAAAAGCUCUAUUAA